CUACUAGGGAAGCUGAGGCAGGAGGAUCACGUGAGCUCUCAAGGCCCAGCCCAGGUGACAGUGUGAGACUCCGUCUAAAAGAAAUCUUAAUAUAACUAUAAUGUAUAUUCUUCUUGAUUGCCCGUUUAAUAUUGUAAGCAUUUUCAAUGUUUUUACCUGAAAAAGUAUAGGUUUUUGUUUAUAUAUAUAUAUAUAUAUAAAAUUUUCAAAUGUUUUUUAGAGCUGGGGCUGGCUAUGUGGCCAGGCUGGUCUUGAACUCCUGGGCUCAAGCAAUCUUCCCAAGUCAGCCUUUCAAAGUGCUGGGGGUAUAGGAGUGAUCCAUUGUGCCUUCCUGAAAGCGUAGUUUUAAUAAUUGGAGUUUUAUCAAAGUUAUUGGAAGAGAAAUUUAAAAAGAAAGAAAAAAUAUUUGCAACUUUAGUAGCUAUGUGCUAUUCUAAAAAAGUUAUAAUUUGCCUAACUAACUCUGUGUUGUUUGAUUUAUAGGCUAUUACCAGUUUUUGAUUUGUUUACUUAGUUAGUUAUAUAAACAAUACAGCAGUAAACUCUUUACUUCCAUAGCUGUUUGCAUUGUGUGUGCAUUGAGAUUAUUUCCUCAAGCUGAAUUCCCAGAAGUAAGACUAUGAGAUCAAAGCAUACAUGAUUAAAUAUACAUGACUUAUGGUUCUUCAUAAAGCUCUGGUCACUUAUGAUCAGAUAAUUAGAGUAGAAUUACAUAUAGAGUUAUUGAUAGAUUUAUCGACAGCUAGAUUUCCAAAUGUCACUGGAAUGAUCAACAUGGGUGUGAAUCCGCUUAUCUGAGAUGUGGGUAAUUCAGAGUUGAUAACAUAUUCCUCUAGAAGAACUACUGUAAAUGCACUCUUAUCAGCAACUUUUGAACACUGGUCAAGUUUAUUGAAGAAAAGAGUUUUAGUCUUUCUGCCCGUGGAUACCGCCGAAGAAGCAUCGUUAAAGCCUCUCUUCUCCCUGUGAUCAUGUCUAAGUCAGAGUCUCCUAAAGAGCCGGAACAGCUGAGGAAGCUCUUCAUUGGAGGGUUGAGCUUUGAAACAACCGAUGAGAGCCUGAGGAGCCAUUUUGAGCAAUGGGGAACGCUCACUGACUGUGUGGUGAUGAGAGAUCCAAACACCAAGCGCUCCAGGGGCUUUGGGUUCGUCACGUAUGCAACUGUGGAGGAAGUGGAUACAGCCAUGAACGCAAGGCCACACAAAGUGGAUGGAAGAGUUGUGGAAGCAAAGAGAGCUGUCUCAAGAGAAGAUUCUCAAAAACCAGGUGCCCACUUAACUGUGAAAAAAAUAUUCGUUGGUGGCAUUAAAGAAGACACUGAAGAACAUCACCUAAGAGAUUAUUUUGAACGAUAUGGAAAAAUUGAAGUGAUUGAAAUCAUGACUGACAGAGGCAGUGGCAAGAAAAGGGGCUUUGCCUUUGUAACCUUUGAUGACCAUGACUCUUUGGAUAAGAUUGUCAUUCAGAAAUACCAUACUUGAAUGACCACAACUGUGAAGUUAGGAAAGCCCUGUCAAAGCAAGAGAUGGCUAGUGCUUCAUCCAGCCAAAGAGGUCGAAGUGGUUCUGGAAACUUUGGUGGUGGUCGUGGAGGUGGUUUCGGUGGGAAUGACAACUUUGGUCGUGGAGGAAACUUCAGUGGCCGUGGUGGCUUUGGUGGCAGCUGUGGUGGUGGUGGAUAUGGUGGCAGUGGGGAUGGCUAUAAUGGAUUUGGUAAUGAUGGUGGUUAUGGAGGAGGUGGCCCUGGUUACUCUGGAGGAAGCAGAGGCUCUGGAAGUGGUGGACAGGGUUAUGGAAACCAGGGCAGUGGCUAUGGCGGGCGUGGCAGCUAUGACAGCUGUCACAACGGAGGCGGAGGCGGCUUUGGCGGUGGUAGUGGAGGCAAUUUUGGAGGUGGUGGAAGCUACAAUGAUUUAGGCAGUUACAACAAUCAGUCUUCAAAUUUUGGACCCACGAAGGGAGGAAACUUUGGAGGCAGAAGCUCUGGCCCCUAUGGUGGUGGCGGCCAAUACUUUGCCAAACCACGAAACCAAGGUGGCUAUGGCAGUUCCAGUAGCGGCAGUAGCUAUGGCAGUGGCAGAAGAUUUUAAUUAGGAAACAAAGCUUAGCAGGAGAGGAGAGCCAGAGAAGUGACAGGGAAGCUACAGGUUACAACAGAUUUGUGAACUCAGCCAAGCACAGUGGUGGCGGGGCCUAGCUGCUACAAAGAAGACAUGAUUUAGACAAAUACUCAUAUGUAUGGGCAAAAAACUCGAGGACUGUAUUUGUGACUAAUUGUAUAACAGGUUAUUUUAGUUUCUGUUCUGUGGAAAGUGUAAAGCAUUCCAACAAAGGGUUUUAAUGUAGAUUUUUUUUCUUUUUUUUUUUUUGUACCCAUGCUAUUGAUUGCUAAAUGUAAUAGUCUGAUCGUGACGCUGAUUAAAUGUCUUUUUUUU